rnacentral:rRNA from 1 species
UACGUAGGGCGCAAGCGUUAUCCGGAAUUAUUGGGCGUAAAGAGCUCGUAGGCGGUUUGUCGCGUCUGCCGUGAAAGUCCGGGGCUCAACUCCGGAUCUGCGGUGGGUACGGGCAGACUAGAGUGAUGUAGGGGAGACUGGAAUUCCUGGUGUAGCGGUGAAAUGCGUAGAUAUCGAGAGGAACACCAGUGGCGAAGGCGAGUCCCUGGACAACACCUGACACUGAGGCACGAAAGCUAGGGGAGCAAACAGG